UACGUAGGGGGCAAGCGUUGUCCGGAAUUAUUGGGCGUAAAGCGCGCGCAGGCGGUUCUUUAAGGCUGGUGUCUAAGUGCGGGGCUCAACCCCGUGAUGCACUGGAAACUGGAGAACUUGAGUGCAGAAGAGGAGAGCGGAAUUCCACGUGUAGCGGUGAAAUGCGUAGAGAUGUGGAGGAACACCAGUGGCGAAGGCGGCUCUCUGGACUGUAACUGACGCUGAGGCGCGAAAGCGUGGGGAGCAAACAGG
rnacentral:rRNA from 1 species